UCGCGGCUUAUCACCGGCAGUCCCCUUAGAGUGCCCAACUGAAUGAUGGCAACUAAGGGCGAGGGUUGCGCUCGUUGCGGGACUUAACCCAACAUCUCACGACGCGAGCUGACGACAGCCAUGCAGCACCUGUGUUCCCGCCAGCCGAACUGAAGGAUCCCAUCUCUGGUGCCCGCGACCGGGAUGUCAAAGGUUGGUAAGGUUCUGCGCGUUGCUUCGAAUUGAACCACAUGCUCCACCGCUUGUGCGGGCCCCCGUCAAUUCCUUUGAGUUUUAAUCUUGCGACCGUACUCCCCAGGCGGGAUGCUUAAUGCGUUAGCUGCGCCACUGACACGCAAGCGUGCCGACGCCUAGCACUCAUCGUUUACAGCGUGGACUAC
rnacentral:misc_RNA from 1 species